rnacentral:rRNA from 1 species
UACGUAGGUGACAAGCGUUAUCCGGAAUUACUGGGCGUAAAGCGCACGCAGGCGGCGCAUUAAGUCUGACGUGAAAUCUCCUGGCUUAACUGGGAGGGGUCGUUGGAGACUGAUGUGCUUAGGCGAUGAGAGGGGUGUAGAAUUCCCGGUGUAGUGGUGGAAUGCGUAGAUAUCGGGAGGAAUACCAGUGGCGAAAGCGACACCCUGGCAUUAGCCUGACGCUCAUGUGCGAAGGCGUGGGGAGCGAACGGG